GCCUGUCCGAGCGUCAUGAGACCAAUCAAGCUCUGCUUGGUAUUAGGCCGUGCCAGUGAUGGCUGACCUCAAAUUCAGUGGCGGCGCCGCUGGGCCCCGAGCGUAGUAAUUCGCCUCGCUACGGAACCCGCGGUAGGCGACCAGAACCCUCAACUCUUCGGGUUGACCUCGGAUCAGGUAGGAAUACCCGCUGAACUUAA
rnacentral:misc_RNA from 1 species